UACGAAGGGUGGGAGCGUUAUUCGGAAUUACUGGGCGUAAAGGGUGCGUAGACGGCAUGUUAAGUCCGCUGUUAAAUAUUCCGGCCUAACCGGAAAAAUGCGGUAGAAACUGGCGUGCUAGAGGGUGGAAGAGAGAAGUGGAAUUCCCGGAGUAGCGGUAAAAUGCGUAGAUCUCGGGAGGAACACCAAUGGCGAAGGCAGCUUCUUGGUCCAUACCUGACGUUGAGGCACGAAAGCGUGGGGAGCAAACAGG
rnacentral:rRNA from 1 species